UAGGGAAGUCUUCCACCAAUGGGCGGCAAGCCUGAUGGAGCAACACCGCGUGAGUGAAGAAGGGUUUCGGCCCGUAAAGCUCUGUUGUUAAAGAAGAACACGUAUGAGAGUAACUGUUCAUACGUUGACGGUAUUUAACCAGAAAGUCACGGCUAACUACGUGCCAC
rnacentral:rRNA from 1 species